CACAGACAUUAAUUGUGAACCUGAAAUUGUUAGGUCAUGACGAACAGUGUAGCUGAGGGUCCGUAAUACAUUGCAAAUAGCGACAUAGUACGCAUGCAAACACUGCUAAUAAGCCGGGCUGGCUGAUUGCGUAGGACAGCACACACGGGUUUCUCAAAAAGAAAAAAAACGCGCAGCAUACACCCGCUGACUUCUCACAAGACGUGUCCGUAUCCGUAUACAUGAGACUUGGAGAGUGAAUAUCCUAUUUAGAUUGGUACAGCAGUCCAAAACCUACUCGUACAGGAGGCCAAAACCUACUCUGAGGCAGGCACCGUUGGUGCUACAAAUACUAUCUCCAAGUGAUUUUAUCUUACACAAACCCCAAGUAUUUGGCGCAGUCAACCAGUCAGUUUCACACGUCGCCUUGUCGCCUUGUGCAAACUGCCUUCAGCUCAAUUAAGUUGUUUGGCAAGUCAGCUUUACAUCAGGUAAUUUUUAUAUCUGUUUCAAUAUACGACAUCAUUCAACAUGUCUAUGAACACUGGUACCUGCAAUGAUAAUGAUAGAUAAUUAGAGUAGUCGAAUGAAUUUUUUUCUCACAAUAGCAAAUCAAUUGUUACAUGUUUGACGCAUCUAAAGAACAAUACUCCAUAUGGAUUUUCAUUACAUUUUUCUUGUUUAAGUAAUAUAUAUAACUUGACGGCAUCCAGUUUUACUUUAACAUGCAGUGCACUAACAACAAAUUAUGAUGUAUGGCAUUACAAAUAUUUCUUUCCCUCAUGCAGGAAAACAUUUGGGCCAUAAUCUCAAAUCAUGGAUGCUAAGGAAAAAAGAAGAAAGAGAGAUAGAGAGCGGUAUGCACGCAUGACAGAUGAAGUCUGGCAGGAGAAACUCAAAAAACGCCGUGAAGCCUAUCAUUGAAAGAAAGAUUCAGAAAAGAGACAAGAACAAAACGCAGCCAAAAGCGCACAAGAAAAACAAAAAUAUGCAAGUAUGCAACCAGAACAGAAGAAAGCAAGAAAGGAACAAAUUGUAGCUCGUCGUCAAUUGAAUCGCAGCACACCAUGCAAAGAUUCAAUUGCAAUGGAAAACCCUGAAUAUGUCGCAACCGAACAGGAGGUUGCGACUUCUGAAUCUACUGUCAAACACAGGUAUCAUGUGGCAGCAGGAAAAAGGCAAAAAUUACUACACCAUCGUAACAAAGAAUUCUCGAGAAGACGGAGGCAAACUGUUGACGUAUCAUCACAAGAAGAUGCAUCCAUCAUGGAAACCUGUGACAAAAACAAUCAAACUCUAGAGCAGCCACAAGUGAUGACUUACGGUAAUAAUCUCGAUUUUAUACUCGCAUUCCAAGUAAAUGUUAAUCCGUCUGUACAACUUACCACCUAUUCUGGACAGACAUCCCCUCCUCAAUGUUUCCAAGCAUCAGAGAAACCAAUGCACCAACACAAUCAUUAGACAAUGAUGAUCACAGUAAAGUGGGUCUGUGGCCAGACAUCCCCUCCACAAUGCUUCAAACAAUCAAAGAAGUGCAUGGACGAAUACAAUCAUUCUGCAAUGAUGAUCACGGUAAGUUCAUAAAUUACAUAU
rnacentral:lncRNA from 1 species